UGCAAGUCGAGCGAAUGGAUUAAGAGCUUGCUCUUAUGAAGUUAGCGGCGGACGGGUGAGUAACACGUGGGUAACCUGCCCAUAAGACUGGGAUAACUCCGGGAAACCGGGGCUAAUACCGGAUAACAUUUUGAACCGCAUGGUUCGAAAUUGAAAGGCGGCUUCGGCUGUCACUUAUGGAUGGACCCGCGUCGCAUUAGCUAGUUGGUGAGGUAACGGCUCACCAAGGCAACGAUGCGUAGCCGACCUGAGAGGGUGAUCGGCCACACUGGGACUGAGACACGGCCCAGACUCCUACGGGAGGCAGCAGUAGGGAAUCUUCCGCAAUGGACGAAAGUCUGACGGAGCAACGCCGCGUGAGUGAUGAAGGCUUUCGGGUCGUAAAACUCUGUUGUUAGGGAAGAACAAGUGCUAGUUGAAUAAGCUGGCACCUUGACGGUACCUAACCAGAAAGCCACGGCUAACUACGUGCCAGCAGCCGCGGUAAUACGUAGGUGGCAAGCGUUAUCCGGAAUUAUUGGGCGUAAAGCGCGCGCAGGUGGUUUCUUAAGUCUGAUGUGAAAGCCCACGGCUCAACCGUGGAGGGUCAUUGGAAACUGGGAGACUUGAGUGCAGAAGAGGAAAGUGGAAUUCCAUGUGUAGCGGUGAAAUGCGUAGAGAUAUGGAGGAACACCAGUGGCGAAGGCGACUUUCUGGUCUGUAACUGACACUGAGGC
rnacentral:rRNA from 1 species